GACGAACGCUGGCGGCGUGCCUAAUACAUGCAAGUAGAACGCUGAAGGAGGAGCUUGCUUCUCUGGAUGAGUUGCGAACGGGUGAGUAACGCGUAGGUAACCUGCCUGGUAGCGGGGGAUAACUAUUGGAAACGAUAGCUAAUACCGCAUAAUAUUGACUAUUGCAUGAUAGUCAGUUGAAAGGUGCAACUGCACCACUACCAGAUGGACCUGCGUUGUAUUAGCUAGUUGGUGGGGUAACGGCUCACCAAGGCGACGAUACAUAGCCGACCUGAGAGGGUGAUCGGCCACACUGGGACUGAGACACGGCCCAGACUCCUACGGGAGGCAGCAGUAGGGAAUCUUCGGCAAUGGACGGAAGUCUGACCGAGCAACGCCGCGUGAGUGAAGAAGGUUUUCGGAUCGUAAAGCUCUGUUGUAAGAGAAGAACGAGGGUGAGAGUGGAAAGCUCACACUGUGACGGUAUCUUACCAGAAAGGGACGGCUAACUACGUG
rnacentral:rRNA from 1 species